AGUGAACGCUGGCGGGAGGCCUAACACAUGCAAGUCGAACGGCAGCACGGUAAGAGCUUGCUGUUACGGGUGGCGACGGGGGGACGAUUGCGGAAAACAUCGCUAUCAACUGUUUCGAGGGUGAUGACGACGGGGAACGUACGCUAAUACAUCAGACGCCGUACGGGGGAGAGCAUGGGAACUUCCGACCUUGCGCGAGUGUAGGAGCGGAUGUCGGAUUAGCUGGUUGGCGGGCUAAAGGCGCACCAAGGCGACGAUCCGUAUCUGGUCUGAGAGGAUGAUCAGUCACACUGGAACUGAGACACGGUCCAGACUCCUACGGGAGGCAGCAGUGGGGAAUAUUGGACAAUGCGCGCAAGCCUGAUCCAGCCAUGCCGCGUGCGUGAAGAAGGCCUUCGGGUUGUAAAGCCCUUUUAGUGGGGACGAAGCGCAGUAUGUUAAUACCUCGCUGUUCUGACGGUACCCAAAGAAUAAGCACCGGCUAACUUCGUG
rnacentral:rRNA from 1 species